rnacentral:rRNA from 1 species
GACGAACCGUGCGAACGUUGUUCGGAAUCACUGGGCUUAAAGGGCGCGUAGGCGGGCGAUCAAGUCCGGGGUGAAAGCUUUCGGCUCAACCGGAAAAGGGCCUUGGAUACUGAUCGUCUAGAGGGAGGUAGGGGCCUGUGGAACUUCCGGUGGAGCGGUGAAAUGCGUUGAUAUCGGAAGGAACGCCGGUGGCGAAAGCGACGGGCUGGAUCUCUACUGACGCUGAGGCGCGAAAGCCAGGGGAGCAAACGGG